ACGUCGGGCAUGUAAAAAAAUUAAUGGUAUUACGCCUAAAGCAAAAAUAUUUCGGUCAAAAUCGAUUGUUUCCCCUUUGCUUAAAUUGUUUCCGGUUUCGGAUUUACCAAGAAAGCAUGUGAAGUUUACUUUCAUAAAACUACUUUCUGUCCAACCGUGAUAGGAUAUGAGACUUGUAAUACUGUUUACUGAUUAGAUAAUAUACCAUGUUCCUUUGAUGGCUCGUUCCACUACAGCUGGGACUAUGCUCAACAGGUACAUAUACCCCACUACAGCCAGGAAGUUGGCCCUGUUUACUUCAAGACCCCAAGAAAAUGCAACGUAUUUGGGAUGUGCUGUGAGGGAUCAGGAAAACAAGUGUUUUAUCUUGUGGAUGAAAGUGACUCAAUUGGUAAGGGGGCAGACAGCGUUGUCAGCAUGGUACACCACUACCUAUAUUGGUAUGGCCAUGGGGAGAUAGAUGGCUAAUUCCAUUUUGACAAUGCUGUGGGUCAGAAUAAAAACAACAUUGUGCUGUGGUAUGGUCUGUGGAGAGUUUUACUAGGUAACAACCCCUAUAUUUUUAUAUCUUUGAAAGCUGUUAAAACUGUGUAUGAUUUUAACUGUUGGACUGCAUGAGACAUGUAUGUGCA
rnacentral:lncRNA from 1 species